rnacentral:rRNA from 1 species
AACCGCGGUUACACGAUGGACCCUAGUUGAUAAACACGGCGUAAAGGGUGGUUAGGGUAAAAUAUAAAUAAAGUCAAACAUCCUCUUGACCGUUAAAAGUGUUUUCGAGGCCACGAAGCCCCACUACGAAAGUGACUUUAAUAUGUCCCGACCCCACGAAAGCUAAGAAA